GAUUUUGCUGCUUAACUCAUAUUCCACAAACACAAUGAUAAUCAGAAUACCGUGUUGAGACCAAUGGCGCCGCAUCGAACAUAUUAUGACAUUUGUGAAGCAAGCCAUCUGGCAGCUUCAGCACGAGGUCGCCUGUGAGUCAGAGGCGCGACUCCCACACAGCCUGCACCAUCCUAGUCCUUCACCUCCCACGGAUCAACACGGCGAGGAAAACUCUUCACCGCCGGCUGAAAGGUAUCCGUCUCACUACACUUUAAACACACAUACACACAAUAUUAGGUAUUAGAUGAUCAACAAAAACAUCGCCCACAACUUCACUGUGAAUACACCAAAUUCUGGCUCCUGUCCUUGUGCCAAAAGGCACUUUAUUUAUUCAGAUGACACUAAUAACGGUUGCCAAAGUCAGUGACAGUAUUUAUUCAUCCACACGUUUUCUGUAGCUCUUGGCCACAGUACGGUGAACUGGAGCCGAGCCCAGCUGUCUUUCGGCGAGAUAUUCAGAUUCGCAUGUUGAACAAUUGAAAGCUAACGUAUGUUUUUGCAAGGCAAGGUGAAGCUGGAGUACCCAAGAAAAUCCUGGAGGUGAGAUAAGUACUCACACUCUGUAGUUCCAGUGUGUUAAAGAGAAAAAUAGACUA